CACCAGGUUGAUUCUGCCUGACGUAGACGCUAUACUCUAAGAUUAACCCAUGCAUGUUUAUUGAAUAUAAAGAAAAGACGAACAGCUCAGUAACUCUUAUUUGAUUUGAUGUAUUAGGAUUCUAACUAUGUUAAAUUAUAGGUACCAAUAAUACAAUAAGAAUAAGAUCUAUCAGUUAGUUGUUAAGGUAAUGGCUUAACAAGACUAUGACGGAUAACGGUAUUACUUUGUAAUAUUCCGGAGAAGGAGCCUGAGAGAUUGCUACUAAGUCUAAGGAUUGCAGCAGGGGCGAAACUUGACCUAUGAUAUUAUAUUGAGGCAGUUAUGAGUAGUAUUUUAUAAUUAUUGUAGUAUUGUAAGUACAUAUUACAAGAUAAAUCGGAGGGCAAAUCGAGUGCCAGCAGCCGCGGUAAUACUUGUUCCGAUAGUGUGUAUGAUGAUUGAUGCAGUUAAAAAGUCUGUAGUUUAUUUAUAAUAAGCAUUGUAAGGUAUACUGUAUGGUUAGGAGAGAGAUGAAAUGUGAUAACCCUAACUGGAUGAACAGAAGCGAAAGCUGUAUACUUAAAUGUAUUAUUAGAACAAGGACGUAAGCUAGAGGAUCGAAGAUGAUUAGAUACCAUUGUAGUUCUAGCAGUAAACUAUGUUGAAUCAUAGAUAUAUUUUGAUAUAUAUUUAUGUAGAGAAAUUAAGAUUAUAUUGACUCUGGGGAUAGUAUGAUCGCAAGAUUGAAAAUUAAAGAAAUUGACGGAAGAAUACCACAAGGAGUGGAUUGUGCGGCUUAAUUUGACUCAACGCGGGGUAAUUUACCAGGUAUAACAUGGUAUAAUAUUUUAUCAUGAUAGUGGUGCAUGGCCGUUUCCAAUGGAUGCUGUGAAGUAAUGAUUAAUUUCAACAAGAUGUGAGACCCUCAUUUAGACAGAUGUAGUGAUACAUAUGAAGGAGAGGAUUAAAACAGGUCCGUUAUGCCCUAAGAUAAUCUGGGUUGCACGCGCAAUACAAUAAUAUUUGAUAUUAUAAGGGAUAAUAUAAUGUAAGAUAUAUUUGAACAUGGAAUUGCUAGUAAAUUUUAUUUAAUAAGUAGAAUUGAAUGAGUCCCUGUUCUUUGUACACACCGCCCGUCG
rnacentral:rRNA from 1 species